rnacentral:rRNA from 1 species
UACGGGGGGGGCAAGCGUUGUUCGGAAUUACUGGGCGUAAAGGGCUCGUAGGCGGCCAACUAAGUCAGACGUGAAAUCCCUCGGCUUAACCGGGGAACUGCGUCUGAUACUGGAUGGCUUGAGUUUGGGAGAGGGAUGCGGAAUUCCAGGUGUAGCGGUGAAAUGCGUAGAUAUCGAGAGGAACACCAGUGGCGGAGGCGAGUCCCUGGACAACUCCUGACACUGAGGCACGAAAGCUAGGGGAGCAAACAGG